rnacentral:rRNA from 1 species
GGGAAAUAUUGCACCAAUGGACGCCAAGUCUGAUGCAGCGACGCCGCGUGGGAGGAUGACGUUUCGGAUGUAAACUCCUGUUAAGUGGGAAGAAAUCUUCACAAAGUAUAUGUGUGAAGGAUGACGGUACUACUAAAGAAAGCUCCGGCUAACUUCGUGCCAGCAGCCGCGGUAAUACGAAGGGAGCUAGCGUUAUUCGGAAUUACUGGGCGUAAAGAGCGCGUAGGCGGUUAUUUAAGUCAGUUGUUAAAGGCCUCAGCUUAACUGGGGAUUCGCAAUUGAAACUGGGUGACUAGAGGGCAAGAGAGAGAAGUGGAAUUCUCGGAGUAGCGGUAAAAUGCAUAGAUCUCGAGAGGAACACCGGUUGCGAAGGCGGCUUCUUGGCUUGUACCUGACGCUAAAGCGCGAAAGCGUGGGGAGCAAACAGGAUUAGAUACCCUGGUAGUCCACGCCGUAAACGAUGAUCACUGGAUGUAGGUUUUGUUUAACAAGAUCUGUGUCGAAGCUAACGCGUUAAGUGAUCCGCCUGGGGAGUACGGUCGCAAGAUUAAAACUCAAAGGAAUUGACGGGGGUCCGCACAAGCGGUGGAACAUGUGGUUUAAUUCGACACUACGCGAGGAACCUUACCUGGACUUGACAUGUUUUUGAUCGCUGUAGAGAUACAGCUUUUCAAGUUUACUUGAACAAUUACACAGGUGCUGCAUGGCUGUCGUCAGCUCGUGUCGUGAGAUGUUGGGUUAAGUCCUUUAACGAGCGCAACCCUUGCUGUCAGUUGCUACUCCCUUGAGGAGGCACUCUGGCAGGACUGCCUAGGAAACUAGGAGGAAGGUGGGGAUGACGUCAAGUCCUCAUGGCCCUUAUGUCCAGGGCUACACACGUGUUACAAUGGCUAGUACAAAGGGAAGCAAUCCCGCGAGGGGGAGCAAAUCUCAACAAAGCUAGUCUAAGUUCGGAUUGAAGUCUGCAACCCGACUUCAUGAAGUUGAAAUCGCUAGUAAUCGCGUAUCAGAAUGACGCGGUGAAUACGUUCUCGGACCUUGUACACACCGCCCGUCACACCACGAAAAUCGUCUACACCCGAAGUUGUCUUAGCUAACCUGUUCAGGAGGCGGAUAA